rnacentral:rRNA from 1 species
UACGUAGGGUGCGAGCGUUGUCCGGAAUUACUGGGCGUAAAGAGCUCGUAGGUGGUUUGUCGCGUUGUCCGUGAAAACUCACAACUCAAUUGUGGGCGUGCGGGCGAUACGGGCAGACUGGAGUACUGCAGGGGAGACUGGAAUUCCUGGUGUAGCGGUGGGAUGCGCAGAUAUCAGGAGGAACACCGGUGGCGAAGGCGGGUCUCUGGGCAGUAACUGACGCUGAGGAGCGAAAGCGUGGGGAGCGAACAGG